rnacentral:lncRNA from 1 species
UGUGGAUUGACAGACUGAAAAAGCUGGAGUCUGAUGACUUUAAGCAGUGACUGCAGGAAUAUUACAUAUUCAGGAAGAAUGGAGCUUUGUCUACUGGCUGACCUUUUCCCAUUCAUUCAUACUUCACCCAGGACUCCCUGGUGGUACUGCUUGAUCCAAGGUAACCAUCUCCUGAGAAAUACUGAUCGGCAAAGAACUUCUGCCAUGCUCAAUUAUCACAAGUACUCAUCUCUCUGCUCCUUCUGUCGUGUCCUCAGCCCUUUUGAUGGUUCCUGUAGGUGACAGUGGAGUACACACCUACGACAACC